AAAGGCUGACCAAUUUUACAAAACGGGUUUGGAGAGAAAUAUUGAUGCCGUAUCAUUAUAAUAAACCAGUUGUCAGCAUGCAUUAAAAUUGGAUCUUGCCAGUCACGGAAAACCUUUGAAUACGUACAAUCCAGAAAGUCAGUUUAUACAAGACCUUCGAGAGAAAGAAGUCAAGCUGCUCAACGGAUUAAUGGAUUAACAAAAGAACGCGAACAGUU